UCACCGAUGCUGUCGGUUCCCACCUCCUCGUAGUCCUUCUCCAGGGCGGCCAUGUCCUCCCUGGCCUCUGAGAACUCUCCCUCCUCCAUCCCCUCUCCAACGUACCAGUGGACGAAGGCCCUCUUGGCGUACAUCAGGUCGAACUUGUGGUCCAGUCGGGCCCAGGCCUCGGCGAUGGCGGUGGUGUUGCUCAGCAUGCACACGGCCCUCUGGACCUUGGCCAGGUCUCCUCCAGGAACCACAGUGGGAGGCUGGUAGUUGAUGCCCACUUUGAAGCCAGUUGGACA